UACGUAGGGUGCGAGCGUUAAUCGGAAUUACUGGGCGUAAAGCGUGCGCAGGCGGUCCGCAAAGUCUGAUGUGAAAGCCCCGGGCUCAACCUGGGAACUGCAUUGGAAACUAACGGGCUCGAGUGUGGCAGAGGGGGGUGGAAUUCCACGUGUAGCAGUGAAAUGCGUAGAGAUGUGGAGGACACCGAUGGCGAAGGCAGCCCCCUGGGCUAACACUGACGCUCAGGCACGAAAGCGUGGGGAGCAAACAGG
rnacentral:rRNA from 1 species